UCAGUACCUCUACCAUGAGUUGACGUAGUUAUGACAUCUCACUCUACUACAGUAGUAAAUGUGACAACGCAACUACAAUAGAUGGCUUCAAUGUUCGUACCAUGAGAUGUUUUGAUGUUAACUACCCUCGCUAUAGUUGAAUCUAUAUCGUUCGUAGUAUCGUUCAUUAUGUAUCUAACUUUAAGCACCGUAGUUCUAACUCUUUUUAUUCACAUCACUUAGAAAGAGAGAAAAUACUGUUUAUGUUUCAAAUCUAAACAGUGAUAUUAACCAACAAAAAAAUAUAAUACAUCGGUUACACAUAAUUUGGUAUAUUGUGAGCAUUUUUAAUUUAUUAGUAUUGCUUUGACAUUGAUUGUCAGCCGGACAUUUUUGUAAUAUGUGUUUCUGUGACAAACCGGGAGUGCGAAAACAUAUUAUUUGUUAAAUUAUUUAAAAAAAGGCCUAAGAGAAGUGCAACUCAAUUUGAGACGAUGGUAGAUUUUUUGGAAAGAAAUGGACACCUAAGCAAAACCUAAGUCCGCUACAUGGGUGAGAGUAGGCGUCAGCGCAGUCUGAAGCAGCCUUCAAGGACUGCUACAUGGUGGGACCUGUCGUAAAUAUAGCAGUAAGUGCGGUGAAUCCGCGAGGGCAACCAUCCCUAGAGAAGCUUCAUUCCAGUGGAAUACCUACACAGCCUGACAACAUGAAAUGUGGUGAUGUAACUUCAGCAACAAGCUCGAUGGCAAGACUUAUUGCAGCAACUUCUGUUAAAUAAAUAAAUAAACAUAUUUUUUCAAUGUGUCUACUUUAUUAUUAUUAAUUAAUCCCACUAAUUACACCUAGACCCCUAUUUAGACCCUUUGCCCGGCAGUGGCACUUGCAAACACUCGCCAACAAGCAAUCUAAAACAAGUAUACAAUCAUAUUACAUAGUAAUAUAAUUGUCGAAUUGGUUUCCAAGGAUUCCACGCAUUUUUUUCAGUUAGGUACUUUGAAAUUUCCUUUGUUCCUGUCGGCCAUCUUCUAAUCCAGCAGUUUCUAACAUAUGGUAUGCAAAAUAUGUACUACCAAACAUAGUUAAAUCAAAAAUAUUAGUUAUUGAAAAAUAUAAAUAGAUGCUUUCACGUACGUCAAAGUUGGUGAGUGCCGCAACUACGGUAGUAAUAGUUUGUCGCUAUAGCAACGGCUAAACUUGUAACUCAUGGUACCAAUAUUGUUUGAAAAGAAUGAACGAUCAUGGCUAAAACUACAGUCAUUGUAGUAUAGUAAACUAUGACAUUGAUGACAGUGAUAGUUAGAGCAACUCAUACUACCAAUUUUGGUACUUAAACUAUCCGCUAGAGGCGCUGUUCCAGUUUGCAUACAUUUUUUCAACUACAGUGUCUGCGGAAACUUUACUAGGCAAACUCAUGGUAGAGGUACAG